rnacentral:piRNA from 6 species
GCCCGGAUAGCUCAGUCGGUAGA